UGCAUUGAAGUCUCUUUCGGGUAGUACCGACAUAAGAAAUACUCUGUAUUCCUUAACGGAGAAACUCACUGCCAAAGCAGGAAUGCAAGUGAAACGUUGUAGCCACACUAACAGUUCCUGUGAAUUUCCCAGAGCAAAACUCUAUCUGUAGAUCCUGAUGGGGAAUUCCCUCCCGACAGCAGUACCAGGUAACAGUACCAAGCUUGCUUUCAUGCCGAGCUUAAAUUCUCAGGAAACAAAGACAAGAAACUUCGAUCUGGAAGUUUCUGUCUCCCCCCGCAGCACUCUGUUGCCUUCCCGCUGCAGCGGGCGAUGCGGUUGGAAUACCCUGCGUUUGCCAGGAAAGCGCAGUGCAGGGGGAGGCGGCGUUGCCCCCGCUGCCCCGGUUCCCGGUGCCAGCCCCGACGGCCCCGGCAGCGGGAGCCUCGGUGGCAGCGAAGAGGAAAAACGCAACCCCUAAACGAGCGGGAAUAACUUCCUCUCCUGAAUGCCUCCCAUCGCCCCCCUUUCAACCCCCGUAUUUAUUUAUACAUAAACAUAUAGACAUAAAUAUUUGUAAACCAGGCAGUUGCGAAAUGCAGCUAUUAAAUAACCUUUUUUUUUCUUAUAUAAAGAAAAAACAACACCCCAACACCCCACACAAGCCAUAAUGAUGAUGAUGAUGAUGACGGGAGGGGGGGAAAUAAAUAAAUAAAAGCGAGCGAGAGUCGGCGACGGAGCGGGAGGCAGGUUCAAUUAUCUAAACAAAGAAAUCAUGGCGGAGUGUUUACAUUUGGCAGCCCAAAGCCUGUUGGAUUACGGACCCCCCCCAAAACCCAACCGGCCCCCCCCGGCUCCCCGCCGUCUCGGCUCGCCGGAGCCCGCCCGCCGACACCUCGCCGCGGCCCGGAGUCUGAACCAGCUGCUUCAAAGAGACCUUCCCAGUGAAAACCUGAGCUGGGAAUUUCUAAGGCUGUUGGUGAGGACAGGAGAAGGAACAGAUGGUGGCACCAUCCCGUCUCUGCACCAAAUACUGCCCUGGAGUUGUACGUGUUGUGAAAAGCAUCCCCUUGUGGAAAAGCAGAUAGUGCUCCUGCAGAGGGAAGCUCUAUCUUGAAGUAUUCUUCACUAUGAGAUCUCUACUUAAAAAUAGCAUUUUCUUACUAGUUCCCUGUGAAUCAUACCUGCACACCUUAAUGAUGAGAUCCCAAGUGGAGGAUCCCCCGUGACGAACCCAACUGCCAGGACCUGAUGUAGAGCGGGGGGCUGCCUGCGGGUGCUGAGCUGCAGCAGAGUGAGCAGAUUCUGGGGCUCUCAUAUUGGCAGAUCAGUGUAGUGGAUUUGUACAGCUGAGGGACAACUAUCCGUGAAUUUCCAGGUCAUGUAACCUUGCUCACUCUUGUGGAAAGCCUGAGGAGCUCCAGGAGGAGUUUAAAGAAGAGAUCUUCCUCUCUUGUUCAGUGAAGGGAUCUCCCUCUCCCACAAAGGCACCACUGUCUUUGCAAUGCACUCUGGCAUUCUUGAAGAGUUAGAAGAGGACUGUAAUUGAAGAGUUCAUUACCAAGAUCAGUUGGCUCCUUGAUUACAGUGGCAAGGUGAAAUAUAUCCUCACCAAAAAGCAACUGCGAAACCUUUAGAGAAGUCACCCACUUUUCACUCUUUUUCAUUAGGACCCCGACAAGCUUGUCAGCAAAAUUAAAGGUUCAUGUCAGCCUCCAUCUCGCAAGGCUCUGUAGGAAAGCAGCGCGCAGCAAGUGGACCUGGGCUGCAGAAGCACCUACCAGGCCCUAAACUCAUGCAGGUGGUAAAACACUGGCUGCCGUGAACUUCAUGUUAAAAAUAAGAAAGAAGAGAAAGCUGGGGUUUGGAGGCAAACUGCAGGCUUGGAAUGUUGUGGCUGCUGAAAUCACUGCAAGGAUAAUAGGGCAUGCAUGCAUUUGUGGAUAAUUCCGUUUGCUAAUUGCUCAUGAAAUUUCAGGUUGAGAGUGAAGAAGGGAAUCUUCUAGGUGUCUGCAUCUUGAAAAACAGGAGCUGCAGUGAUUGCUUCCUGUCUAAACGUGCUGUACUGCUAGAAGGGCCUGGCCUGGUAGGUGACUACAGGGACCUGACUCCAGUUUUCCUGGACCAAGAAACAAAACAGGAAGACAGCCUGCUCUACCCUAGAACACUGAAUGGUCAUUGAAACCAAGCUCAGGACAGCUCAACCUUGUCAAACUUCUUUCUCAGGUCUUCUGAAGAAGAAAUUCCUCUGGAGUGUUCCUCAGCCACUCUGCAAUAUGGUUCUCUGGGUCAGGUUGUGAACAGUGUUGGUAGUAAAGCAGGCUGGCCAGCUGGGCCUGCUGGGGUUCCCUUAAAAUAACAUUUGUCCCAAGCCUUUUCACAGGCUUUUACUGGACCUAUUCAGUGUCUCAUUUAGGUGUGAUGCUCUGUGAUGUUCAGCAAGUGGCUGGUGACAGCAAAACCUGUUGUGUGACUGUAAGAUGGUUGUUCAUUCCUACAGCUGACAGCAGCACCACGGUGGCAUAUUCAGCCUUUAAGGCUUGCUUUUCCCUGGGAGCUGCAAGGAUGCCCUGAAGGGUGUCUAACAUUCUCCUGCAUCCAGAAUGAAUUAGGUAAUGUUGAUCCAGGUGAGGUGGACACCAUGAGACAACCCCUUUCCAUAAGUACCAUGCACUUGACAGAAACAGGUGGGAGGGAGAGCAGCCUUCAGCUCUCUCACCAUCAGAAAAGGCAGAAAAAGGCAAGACAAAGAUAGUUUAUGUGCAGCUGAGGCAGCUCUCAGAACUGAAUGUGUCUGUGAUUUAAUAACACAUCUACACAGAACGACACUUCUAAAAUUCACUGAGAGAAAAGCAGCAGAGCAGGAUGGGGCCACAACCAGCCCACAGUGCAUUACUUCUGCAACCACAAACAGCUGAACUACCAGGUAUUUAUUUUUCUAUAUGAACAGUUGUUAGAAGAGGAUGAAAAUUCUUCUUUGACACUCUUGAUGGAGACAAGGAAAGGCCUGUGCUUCCCCCAGCUCCCGUGGUCCUGAUGAGAAACAGCUCACAAAUUCCAAUAAAUAGAAAAUAGAAAUAAACACUUUAACUGCAUGGCAUAGGGUUUUGAAUGGCUUUCUGAAUCGGAAAGUGCUGCUCGUACGUCUUUGUUACUUCCACACUCUGUAAUGCUGGCUCUCCAAAAGGCAGAGACAAAGUGAGAUAGAUACCACAAGGAUCGCAGACACUACACUGGAAAACCAAGUAUCAGUGGUACAUCCAGAUUUAUGGUAGGGGAUGGCAGUAAAGUGAAAGCAAAACUGUUUGCACAGUCUGUGGUGUUGCCCAUUACUGUGUAUUUGGCCUUUUUUCUUGCUUAGCUACAGCUGAAGGAGUGGAAAAUUGUACCUUAUAUACAGUAUUAGGAGCCACUUUUUGGUCGUAAGGUCAAUCAGACUAGUUUACCUGCUUGAGGUAUUUAUGGCACAAUCACUCAGUGUCUUUAAGGAAAGGUUAGAUACAUUUAUGGGAAAGGUCUUUUGCAGAAGCCUUCCUGUUUCAUAGAGGUCUUGGACAAAAUGACCCAGGAGACCCCUUCCAAGUCUAUCAAAUGUGGUUCCUUGAUUGAUGCUGUUUCCCCCCCAAGUCUUUUGAAAACACCAAGCACUGUUAUAAAAUUUAAUAUGAUACACUAUAUAACUCUAACACAAUGCCAUUUCCUUAUAGGAGAUGGGUAGCUGCUAGCACAGGAGCCUUGUGCAGGAGGAAGGAAAGAAGAAAGACGAAAUUGCAGUGCAGUUUCUCUGCCAAGGGAUAUCGACUAUAACAUUUACACUGUUCCUUAGUGUGGAGCCUCAUCUAUGCAGGAGGAAUAUCAUGUCAUGGAGGCAUAUAAGCAACCCACACUGUAGUAUAUAUUUCUCCAGAAGAACCUAACAGGGCCUGAAGUGAUUUUGUGUGCUGUGCAGUAGGCAUUCCCUUAGUGCUGGAAAGCAAAUGGACACCCAGCUCUCCUUAUAAAUAACUGCUUGGUGCUAUAAUCAGCUGGGCAUAAUGUGGAGGCCAGAAACAGGAGUGUCCAACCCCCCCGCUGUACCCACAGGGCCUGUCCUCUAUCUGUGCUCUGCAACCCUUCCGUGGUUACAAAUGGCCAGAGUGAAAGCAACACAAAAUAUUUCCAGGUCCACCAAACCAGUGAGUAAAUCUGUAUCGUGUUUCUCACUGUUAUCCUUGUUAUUUUUCCAAUUUGAGGAGAGAUGCUUUAGCUUAAUGUUCCCUAAAUUGACUAUUUCUUUUUAGCCCUUCAAACUUUUAACGUAUUUAAAAGUUUAAGUCAACUCAAUAAGGAUUUACUCUCAAAACCAUUUUAGUUUUUACCUUUUUAUUUUCACUCCAGCUGAUUUACUUAAAGGCCAAACUCCUCUUCCAAAAAGCAACCCCCGUCUUCUUGGGACGGCUCUGUCAGGAAAUAACACCACCCAUACACACACACUCCAGAGCCUUUUGAAGUCUCACAUACAUGAGCUGUUCCAUUUUGCAGGGCAGACCAGGAUUAACUCUUUUAUUAACCUUCUAACCUCAUCCAUGAGAAGGAAAACCAGCCGAACCUCAUUUGGAACUUGCAGCCUUCCUUACCUAAACACUUGUGAGCUCAGACACCCUACAGAUGGGAGCAAAAUGAGGACCAUUAAUGAUGAUUUCCCUAGGGAGCUCCCUGAUUUUGGACCCUCCCAUUAUGUUGCACUCAGUGUCAAUGGCUAUCCCUAAAAGCUUCUGUUUUCACUUGGAAAUGUUUUGCCAUUACCAUGAGGCUUGGGUCUGUUUGAAUCAUAUUUAUAGGGGCAAAUAUUGACCUUCUUGUCCUUCUCCACAUGUUGCAUCAAUGUGUUUUCCCUGAUCCCUACGUCAAAAAACAAGGCACUUCUAGCAAAUGACAAAUCUGACCUGGCUUGAAUCCUGGCAGUGCUACAAUUGCUCAUCCUUAGCUCUCACUUCAUCCCGGCAUCACAGCGCAGAGUAAGACACUCAUGUCAGGAUAGCUCUUCUCACUGGAGUCACAAUGGUAAAAAUUAGCCUUGGGUGAGUGACACGAGCAGAAAUUUCAAAGGCAGGAAAAUUUAUCUCCUGCUCUUUGUCUUACAGUGUGGUGCAUGUCAGUGGUUGGAAGAUUUAGCUUCCAAGCAUCCCGUAUAUAUAAAUCCUAGUGGACAACCGCUCUCCAGCUUCUCUUUUUUGAGCUCAGCAGCUGGAAUCUGCCAGGGAAUGAGGGCUGAAAUAAGGAUGGAGGAAAACUUUCCUAUGGCCUUCAGGUGUUGGUCAAGGGUCGAGAUUAGGAAACAGCUAGAGCAAAACAAAACUCUCUCAGCUAUGUCUCCUUACUGUGUUAUAGAAGGUCAUGGCUAUUUGGCAUAAGGACCGUGAGUUUUGGGCCAGCCCUGUCUCUCUGCUGUAGCUUAGACCAUUAACUGCUUUGAUGAUACAGUCCCUCUUGGGGUUUCUCCUUCUGAAAGACUUAUUCUUGGUUUAACUCUAAUACAGAUGCUCCACUUUAGAUUUUAGGAGGCCAAAACACAAUGAGGAAGGCAAAAUACCUCUCAGGUUCCUGGUAAAAGCCUUCAAAUACCACUUUGAUGAGCACUUUCCAGCUGCUCUGCUGGGUAAACAGACACAGAGUAAACAGCUCUAACGUGCAGGGAUGGCCCUUGCACCAAAAGGCAGAGAAGAAAAGGCAAUGGGAAGAGUAAAAGGCAGGCAAUGAUGGAUCCAACUGAAUUUCUGCCACUUUUGAUCUUUGGAAAUGGGAAAACCCAUUCAGGGUCACAGAUUUCCAGACCGGGGUAUAUGCACCAUUACUUGUGCCACAAAGCAGAGAUGCUUUGCCUGGCCCAAAAAAAAAGCUGUUCUUGUGAGUUCUCUGGGGUGCAGGGACUUGAUUUCCCAGUUUUCAGUUAAUAAUUCAAUGCUUAUACAUAAAUAACAGUAAUAAUAAUCAUAACAAUACCUGCCUCACCAUUAUGUUGUACUCAGCCUUUGUGAUGCCUCUCUCACGAUAAAAUCUGUCUAUUAAACAUUUUAAUUGAAACUCUUAAUAAAACAGAGCUAUUUUAACUUGUGCAGUUACAUUCACAUCAUGAUCAGAAAGCACUUUACAGAAUCAAAUUGAAGUAGCCAGCCUGAUCCGUGUACAGAAGCAAACACCGUCAUUGUGCAUCUCAGUUGUACGUAACAAAGCUGUCAUAUGGACAAUGAAUUGUCCAGCAUACCAUAUCUGGGGGUUUGUGUUGCAUCCAAAAAGGUCGGGGUUUGUCCUUAGGCUUGUGCUAAAAAUCCCUAACGCCAUCCCAAGCGACACAGCGAGAGGGGACUGGAUGGGCUCACCUCCUAGACAAGAAGAGCAGGCUGCCGCCAGGAGGGGUAGGGAACAGUCACGCCUCAUUAUCAGGAGCCCUGGUUCAGAAGGAAAGAAGAACAAAGGUUACAAUUUUCCUGGUUUAGGAAAAAAAAAAGCCAUGGAAUUCUUGAUGUGCCGCGGUGCUGAGUACUGAGCAGCCGCCGUGGGGUCACCGAGAGAGGACAAGGCAAAGGCUGGUAAUGCAAGCGCUCACGUUAAAUGAUGCCUCCCGAGGUCUGGAAGGGGUCUCAAGCUUUGGGCCUUGUAAUAGGUAGUUCUGGAGCUCAGAGUGCUUUGUUCCCUCUUGUAUAAUUGAUAAAUUACCAUUGUUAGUACUAAACAAUACUGCCGAGCACAGAAUGGAAACACGCUAACGCUUUAUCCAUCUUAAGCAAUUCUGCUCAUGUGCUCAUACUGUUCUUAAAUGCGCUAGAUAUUUGUUUGAUGAAACAAUAAGUUUUAGAAAAGGGAAAAAUAAGAACUUUAAAGAUAAUCAAAACCUUGACUCCAUACUUUACCACAGGCAGCUGUGAAUAAGCUUCAGUACUCUUUAUUUUUAACAUUCCAGAUAUGUAAUUUAAUGCAGGUCUAAUGACAGUCUCGAACGUACUGCUUUAAUCGAAAUUGUUCAAGCUCUGUUCUGUGACAAGGGCUCACAAGCUACCAGCAGGGUUGUCCAUUUUCCCCGCUUCUGUAAGGAAAAGAAAAGGGAGGGGAGGGGGACACUCUUGAACUUAUGUUGCUAUUGAUGUGUAAUAUACAAUAAAAAAACAGUUAAAUUUCAAUUACCCACAGGUAAUUAUAAUUUUAUUGUUUGACUGUGCCAUGGGGAUUUUUGUAAUUCCCCAGCCUAAUAAUUUUCUGUAAUUUUACAGGUUGUCAAAUAAACUAUUAAAGAUUAUCUUUGAAAAGGA